CCUACGGGGGGCAGCAGUGAGGAAUAUUGGUCAAUGGGCGCGAGCCUGAACCAGCCAAGGAGCGUGAAGGAUGACUGCCCUACGGGUUGUAAACUUCUGUUAUAAAGGAAGAAAGUGAGGCACGUGUGCCGUUUUGUAUGUACGUUAUGAAUAAGGAUCGGCUAACUCCGUGCCAGCAGCCGCGGGAAUACGGAGGAUCCGAGCGUUAUCCGGAUUUAUUGGGUGUAAAGGGAGCGUAGAGGGGUUGUUAAGUCAGUGGUGAAAGUUUGCGGCGCAACCGUAAAAUUGCAAUUGAUACUGGCAGUCUUGAGUACAGUUGCGGUCGGCGGAAUUCGUGGUGUAGCUGUGCACUGCUUCGCUAUCAC
rnacentral:rRNA from 1 species